GUUCUGUUUCGUUUCUUCCCUAGCUCUGACUCUUCAUUUUUUGAAGGGGCAUUUAUUGCAGAAGACAAAUCUGUGUCUGCAUUUGUUGAUGCCUUGCAUAAAGCUGUGAAACAGCUACCUGGACAAGGCAGAUGUGGGAGCUCUUCGUGGACAGCAGCGAAGGAGACUUCUAGGUGGACCUUCAAGUUGGACGAAGAGGGCAUGGAGGUUGCGGUGUGUCGGCAUGGUUUCCUCCUUAAAACACUUAACAUGUUUAGAGGUGAAAUCUUUGCCUACCCCAUGUAUCUGCACAAGGAGUUGAUGGGUUCAAAGCCAAGGUUUAUCGCUAUGGAUGUAAUGUGUAAAUACUGGC